AAUAAAGAGGAGGAAGCCUAUCCAGUAUGCAAUACACAGUAUUUUUCAGAGCAAAAAGAAGGGAAAUCGCUGGAUAAAUAGGCCACUGCUGGCCACUGACGGCUGUGCUUUUUUUUGAUACAAACCUGGAGAAAUUCAGAGGAGAG